rnacentral:rRNA from 1 species
UACGGAGGGUGCAAGCGUUAUCCGGAUUCACUGGGUUUAAAGGGUGCGUAGGCGGGUUGGUAAGUCCGUGGUGAAAGCCAACAGCUCAACUGUUGAACUGCCAUUGAUACUGAGAAGCUUGAGUACAGACGAGGUAGGCGGAAUUUAUGGUGUAGCGGUGAAAUGCAUAGAUACCAUAAAGAACACCGAUUGCGAAGGCAGCUUACUAGGCUGUAACUGACGCUGAGGCACGAAAGCGUGGGGAUCAAACAGG